rnacentral:lncRNA from 1 species
CCCCAGCCGAACAGUCCCAGCGCGACCCAAAGCGCUGCCAGGCAAAGGGCCGCUCCGGCCCGCGGGCGGCACCGGGCCCAGGCCGUUGUGCCGCUCUGCCUGGGGGACGGGCGCCUGCCCGCGAGGGGAGUGGGCCCCGGCCCCGCUCGGCCGCGGCGUUCCGCGGGGCCUCCCCGCUGCCGAGGGUGGUAGAAGCGGCCCCGGGUCAACGGAAGCCGACGCGCCCGGCUUAGCCCUGCUCUGCCCCCGCCCGCUGCGCCUCACCUGAGCCGCCCCCGGCGCCACCGUCCCUCACAUGCCGCCGCGGCCCCUCACACCCCUUUGUUGUCCUCCCUCCUCCCUCUCUGCUCCUUCUGCCGUCAAGCAACGCCGAGCGCCGGAAAGCACCCCACUGCCGCAAAAGCAGCUGUCGUAACGCUCCGCUCUGCUUCCCUCCCUCCUCCUCCUUCUCCUGGCCGCGUAAGAGGCCAGUCCUGGCAGGGAGCGGUGGCUUUUGAACCCUCCCCAGCCCCGGGGCUCCCGGCGGCCCUCGGCAUGUGGGGCGGGGCCGGGCGACAUCCCGACCCGGGGUUAGGGGGGGGAGCUGUGCCCAGCUGGAGGGAGCCUGGGGCUGCCUCAGGGGGUGGGAGGCGGCACCUGAGGGGAUGAGGCAGGCCACGCUGAAGGUCCCCUGGCGGGACCGCUUAGCACCAUCCCUGUGCCCCCUUACACCGGGACCCCCCAACAUUACACCCAGAGCGGGGGGUCUCAGUCCGGGCACACCUGAGCCCAGUGGGGAGUCUGCCCCGGAGGGGUCUCCGGGAGGGCCUGUGGAGAGGCCUGGACUCCCCGCAGAAGCCUGGGCAGGUGUGCUCUCUGCUCGGGUGUGCUCACUGCUCAGGUGUGCUCGGGUGUGGUCUCUGCUCAGGUGUGCAGCAGACAGGGAGGAAAUUGCCACAGCAUUGAACUGGCCUCUUACAGGAAACAAAUGCCAGACACGCCUCAUGACCAGGUGUUUGCGCACACGGCGGGGAAGGAGCACGCUGGGGAAAGGCUCCGCACACCUGGGUCCCCUUCGCACCCACCCUGCGUGAGGAGAGGGCACGGUGAGUGAUUCGUGGGCUGUGUGGAGCUGCAGCCCCGGCCCUUUGUCUGUGGGGAGCUCCUAUCCCCUGCGGGGGCUUGCAGCUUGUUUUCUGGAAUGGUGACAUCACGCUUAGAGGAGGGCAAGCGUCUAAUAUUUCAUAGGCUGCUUUGUCCUUGCGACCCGGGAUUCGGUGACACAGGCGCCUGUUCUUUGGUUGUGAAAAGGGGACUUUAGUGUAAAAACCUUGCACGGAUAUUUAGGAGUCACAAUCUCACUGCUUGCUCUUUCAGCAGAGGCUUUUGGAAUAACACUAAUAAAAAUAAUGAUAUUUGAUGUAAAGCUUUUCCU